AGGGGAGACCCUUACGGGGCGGUUGCACAGGUGCUGCAUGGCUGUCGUCAGCUCGUGUCGUGAGAUGUUGGGUUCAGUCCCGCAACGAGCGCAACCCCUGCCGUUAGUUGCAUAAUCUAGCGGGACCGCCGCGAUCAACGCGGAGGAAGGCGGGGAUGACGUCAAGUCAGCACGGCCCUUACGCCUUGGGCUACACACACGCUACAAUGGUCGGUACAACGGGUUGCCAACCCGCGAGGGGGAGCUAAUCCCAUCAAAACCGGCCUCAGUUCAGAUUGUAGGCUGAAACCCGCCUGCAUGAAGGAGGAGUUGCUAGUAACCGUGGGUCAGCACACCACGGUGAAUACGUUCCCGGGUCUUGUACACACCG
rnacentral:rRNA from 1 species